AGCAGCCGCGGUAAUUCCAGCUCCAAUAGCGUAUAUUAAAGUUGUUGCAGUUAAAAAGCUCGUAGUUGAAUUUCGGGAUUGACGUGAUGGUCGUGCCUUAAGGGGUAUGAACUGUUGCUGUUGAUUUCUCACCUUCUGGAGAAACUUGAUGUCCUUAAUUGGGUGUCUUGCGGAUCCAGGACCUUUACCUUGAAAAAAUUAGAGUGUUUAAAGCAGGCAUUUUGCUCGAAUACAUUAGCAUGGAAUAAUAGAAUAGGACGGCAUGGUUCUAUUUUGUUGGUUUCUAGGAUCACCGUAAUGAUUAAUAGGGAUAGUUGGGGGCAUUAGUAUUCAAUUGUCAGAGGUGAAAUUCUUGGAUUUAUUGAAGACUAACUACUGCGAAAGCAUUUGCCAAGGAUGUUUUCAUUAAUCAAGAACGAAAGUUAGGGGAUCGAAGACGAUCAGAUACCGUCGUAGUCUUAACCAUAAACUAUGCCGACUAGGAAUCAGACGAUGUUAAUUUUUUAAUGACUCGUUUGGC
rnacentral:misc_RNA from 2 species